UUCAUUUACAGUACUUGAAUUUACAGCUGAUUCUUCAACGGCAAGCGUAAGUAGUUCUCUGGGUCAAAAAAGAGCGUUAUAUUAGCGUAUUUACCUGGUCGGUUUUGAGAACAUGUAUUUUGCAGUUAAAUCUAGAUGCUGUGCGCACUUAUAUUUGUUCCGCAAGAAAGGAGGCUUUACGGAAUGCCAUCUUACGGCACGUUCCAUUGUGUGGUUUUUCUUUCAGUUCGGCCCCGCAUCUGGUCACAGCGUUUAGAAUGUUAUUUGCUUGCAUAAUAAUCUUUCUUCGUAGAAUUAGUACUAAAUUUCGGAAUGAGUGUCUGUCACCUCAUUUACUAAGGUGUGCUUAUCGGCAGUUUUGCUAACUACGUUGUUUUCGUCUUGUCUCUCAGCUCCAUCUGGACACGCUGCUGACAUGGAACUUGCGUCAGCGACAUUGGCGGUAACAUGUGUACUGCUGGUAAUUGUAUGGCUAGUAGUGACUGCUAUUAAGUGGUCUGAUGGCGAGUACAGUGGACGUAAACCAAAAGGCACGUGUUUGCCUCCUGGGCCCUCAGGCGUGCCAUUUGUGGGUGACGUGAGGACCUUAUUCAAUGGUCCUAGUGCACAGAGGAUGUUUGCCUGGUCCCGCAUUUAUGGAUCUGUUGUCAGAGUUAAGGCUGGAUCUUCCGAAAUCUUCUCCUUGAACGACAUGGAAGCAAUUCGGACCUUCUUGAACCACAAGGAUUUUCUAUAUCGUUC
rnacentral:lncRNA from 1 species